CUACAAAAUAAUAAUAAUAAUAAUAAUAAUAAUAAUAAUAAUAAUAGAAUGGUAGAGCAGCAGCAGAAUGAAAGCCUAGUUCUCUAACACUAAAGAAGAAGAACCAGGCCAACCUUUUCGGUAAAGGGUCAGAUAGUAGAUGCUUUCAGCUUUGUGGAGCAUAUGGGUCUCUGACAUAACUAAUCAAUGAUGCCAUUUAGAAUGAAAACAGUCAUAGGAAAUAUGUUCCACUAAGAUUUUAUUUAUGGACCUAAAAAUAUGAAUUUCAAUAAUUUUCCCAUAUCACAAAAUAUAUGCUUCUAUUGACUUAUUUUAAACCAUUUAAAAAUGUAAAACUAGUUCUUAGUUGGAAAGCUGCGCGAAAGAAGGCUGAAGACUAAAUUUGUCAGCCCCUACUAGAGACCCCCAUACAGAUUGCUUUUUUUCAGGCUCUAUUUACAGGAGAAAGACACUCUUGUUCUGCUAGAUAAAGCUUGCUGUGAUCCACAGAAACAGCCCUACUUACGGUAUGUGGAUGCAACCUGUACCAGUCCUGUGCUAGGGCUGUUUCUGUGGAUCACAGGGCUCUGUGGCUUGCUCCUAAGGCUCAGACUUGGAAUUCUCUUUGAGGAUCUCCCUCAGGCUAUUGGCCUCAGGAAGGAAAGUUAGAAAUGCAUGAGAAUGCAUAUGCCCUGAGGACAGCCCUUCAGUAGAGGGCUUGGCUGUCUUGGCUGACUCUACACUUACCUCUUUCAAUACCCAGCUCUCUUGCUCUCUGUGUGGACAAACUCAGCCAGAACUUAAACUCCAGAGCUCCCUGUAGGGUCAGGUGGAAGCUUCCCUCUUCAGGACUGGGCCUGACAUUGCACUCUGGCUUGGCUUCCUCCUCUUGUAGUCCCAUUUCUCCUCCUCUUUACUAUGAGUACCUCCUUUACAAAUCAGUGACAGAAGCCUGUGUCAGGGACUGCUUCUGGCAAAUCUUAAGAAAGUCUGUAGUAACUGUCGUUGCUCAGUCCUUUCUUCAGUCUCUGAUGAAACAAAGAAACUGCAACCUGCUCUUAAAUAAAUAAAACCCCAGGGUCCUAGGGUAUAGCAUGCCUGGAGAAAACAGGGAGUUCUGGUAUCAUUUGGCUUGGAUUGAAAUCUAGUUUAGCAUUUCUGAACCUCAUCUGUACAAUGGAGCUAAUAAUAACAUCUAUGGCAAAAGGUUGUUUUGAAUCUAUAUGGAAUGUUAUGGCACUAAACAUAUCCAGCACAUCAUAAAUAUUCUAUAAAAGACAGCUUUUAGGGGCCAGGGUUGUGG
rnacentral:lncRNA from 1 species